rnacentral:tRNA from 1 species
GGGCCCAUAGCUCAGUGGUUAGGGCGCUGGCCACAUACACCGAGAGAGGUGGGUUCGAACCCCACCCGGGCCU